CUAACAAUUAAACCCGAGAGUUCCGUGACCGUCUGCAGUUGCUGCUCUGUCACUUUAAUCCGGGCGUUUGUUCCAUUGGUGUUCGUUUUUAUAUACAUAUGUGUGUGUGAGUGAGUGAGUGAUCGUGAUCUGAUUGCGCUGUUUCACUUCUUCCUCGGGGUCAUUUAUCAACAACAAGCACAGCUAGGGAUACGUUUAACUGCUGAUUAGAGAAAACGAGUGCACCCUCUUGGACAUUCACCCAGAGUCCAACCUCGGACUCACAAUCUCACGGCUGCAGCGGACGCGGGAUUUCAGAUGGCAGAGCGGCAAAGGAAAGAUGCUAUCGAUAAACCAGCCCCGGGUAGCGUCUGAACUCUGCUCGUCUGCAAGAUCCUGUUUUGCUCGGACUGGAAGGGCGGUGCGUGUGCGAUAAAGACCCAUUGGACCAACGAUCCACCGCAAAGUUCAAUAAAUCCUUGACUUGGUCAGGCCAACGUUUGCAGAUUGGAUGUAAAGGAAAUGCUAAAUUCUCCAGCCUGCAGACCAGUUCCGUACCACCAUAACAUUUCCAUUUGUAAAUUUUGUCGACAAGACCGUCCCAGGGUCUGCAGCCACUGAAGGUUAUUCCCCCCAGAGAGCUUGAUAAACAGCGAUCAGUCAACGCGACUUUAUUGACCGAUGUGGUGCAAUGUUCCUGCAUGCUCACCACUGACCAGAGCAGGUCACCACAACAGCAAAGGAAUGUUUGUUCUUUCAAGUAUCAUCAAAGCGCUUCUUCACCCGGACUGGAUUAGGAACGAUGUAAACUGUCAGUCUGUGAAUUUGUACAUUGAUUGACAUUUUGAUUUUGAAAAUGUCAAAAUCACAAACGUACAGAGAAGGAAAGGACCACUCAGCCCUUCAAGUUGCUCGACCAUUUACCAAGAUCGUGGGUGAUCUGACUGUAACCGCAACUCUGUAUUCCUGUCCAGCCGCAGUAAUCUUUCACCCUCCCCCCUUGCUUGUUAGGAAUCUGUCUACCUCUAACAAUAUUCAAAGAUUCUGCUUUCAUUGCCCUUUGAGGAAAAGUUCCAAAGAAGACUACUAAAAGAAAACAAAAUGCCUCAUCUCUGCCUUUUAGUGGAUGACUCCAUGUUUUGAAACAAUGACUCCUACAACAAGGUUAUUUCCUCAGAGGAAGCAUCCUUUUCACACCCACUUUAACAGGACCCCACAGGAUCUUAUAGGUUUCAGUCAUGUCACCUCUCACUCUUCUAAACUUCAGCAGAUACAAGUCGAGCCUGUCCAACUUUUCCUCAGAAGACAAAUCCCCACUCUAGGCGGUAAACUUUUUCUGAGUUAUCUAAUGCAUUCAUAUUUUUACUUGUAUAUGAUCAAUACUAUAGAGAAUACUCCAUACAACUGAAAUAAUACGCCUGAUAUAACUGAACUAUAAUCUCCCUAUUUUUGUAUUCAAUCUCCUGAGCAAUAAAUGACAAAAUUCUG